GGGGGAUUAGCUCAGUUGGCUAGAGCGUUUGCAUGGCAUGCAAGAGGUCAUCGGUUCGACCCCGAUAUUCUCCA
rnacentral:tRNA from 6 species